rnacentral:rRNA from 1 species
CUCAAAUUUGAAAUCUGGCCCCCAGGGUCCGAGUUGUAAUUUGCAGAGGAUGCUUUUGGCGAGGCGCCUUCCGAGUUCCCUGGAACGGGACGCCAUAGAGGGUGAGAGCCCCGUCUGGUUGGAUGCCGAGCCUCUGUAAAGCUCCUUCGACGAGUCGAGUAGUUUGGGAAUGCUGCUCUAAAUGGGAGGUAUAUGUCUUCUAAAGCUAAAUACCGGCCAGAGACCGAUAGCGCACAAGUAGAGUGAUCGAAAGAUGAAAAGCACUUUGAAAAGAGGGUUAAAUAGUACGUGAAAUUGUUGAAAGGGAAGCGCUCAUGACCAGACUUGGGCCCGGUGAAUCACCCAGCGUUCUCGCUGGCGCACUUUGCCGGGCUCAGGCCAGCAUCAGUUUGCUCCGGGGGAUAAAGGCUUUGGGAAUGUGGCUCCCUCGGGAGUGUUAUAACCCAUUGCAUAAUAUCCUGGAGCGGACUGAGGUUCGCGCAUCUGCAAGGAUGCUGGCGUAAUGGUCAUCAGCGACCCGUCUUGAAACACGGACCAAGGAGUCGUCUUCGUAUGCGAGUGUUCGGGUGUAAAACCCCUACGCGUAAUGAAAGUGAACGCAGGUGAGAGCUUCGGCGCAUCAUCGACCGAUCCUGAUGUUCUCGGAUGGAUUUGAGUAAGAGCAUACGGGGCCGGACCCGAAAGAAGGUGAACUAUGCCUGUAUAGGGUGAAGCCAGAGGAAACUCUGGUGGAGGCUCGCAGCGGUUCUGACGUGCAAAUCGAUCGUCAAAUAUGGGCAUGGGGGCGAAAGACUAAUCGAACC